rnacentral:rRNA from 1 species
AUGCGCAGGAAUCUACCUAGUAGUACGGAAUAGCCAUUAGAAAUGGUGGGUAAUACUGUAUAAUCCCCGAGGGGGAAAGAUUUAUCGCUAUUAGAUGAGCCUACGUUAGAUUAGCUAGUUGGUGAGGUAAUGGCUUACCAAGGCUAUGAUCUAUAGCUGGUCUGAGAGGACGAUCAGCCACACUGGAACUGAGAUACGGUCCAGACUCCUACGGGAGGCAGCAGUGGGGAAUAUUGGACAACGGGGCGAAAGCCUGAUCCAGCUAUGCCGCGUGAGUGAAGAA